AUUGAACGCUGGCGGCAUGCCUUACACAUGCAAGUCGAACGGCAGCACGGGAGCAAUCCUGGUGGCGAGUGGCGAACGGGUGAGUAAUAUAUCGGAACGUGCCCAGUCGUGGGGGAUAACGUAGCGAAAGCUACGCUAAUACCGCAUACGAUCUAUGGAUGAAAGCGGGGGAUCGCAAGACCUCGCGCGAUUGGAGCGGCCGAUAUCAGAUUAGGUAGUUGGUGAGGUAAGGCUCACCAAGCCGACGAUCUGUAGCUGGUCUGAGAGGACGACCAGCCACACUGGGACUGAGACACGGCCCAGACUCCUACGGGAGGCAGCAGUGGGGAAUUUUGGACAAUGGGCGC
rnacentral:rRNA from 1 species